rnacentral:rRNA from 1 species
UACGAAGGGGGCUAGCGUUGCUCGGAAUCACUGGGCGUAAAGCGCACGUAGGCGGAUUGUUAAGUCAGGGGUGAAAUCCUGGAGCUCAACUCCAGAACUGCCUUUGAUACUGGCGAUCUUGAGUCCGGGAGAGGUGAGUGGAACUCCGAGUGUAGAGGUGAAAUUCGUAGAUAUUCGGAAGAACACCAGUGGCGAAGGCGGCUCACUGGCCCGGUACUGACGCUGAUGUGCGAAAGCGUGGGGAGCAAACAG